UACGUAGGGUGCAAGCGUUGUCCGGAAUUAUUGGGCGUAAAGAGCUCGUAGGCGGUCUGUCACGUCGGCUGUGAAAACCCGAGGCUCAACCUCGGGCCGCAGUCGAUACGGGCAGACUAGAGUUCGGUAGGGGGAGACUGGAAUUCCUGGUGUAGCGGUGAAAUGCGCAGAUAUCAGGAGGAACACCGGGUGGCGAAGGCGGGUCUCUG
rnacentral:rRNA from 1 species